GCACCUGCACAGACAAAAUCCUCUAAAUCUGUUGAAACACUCGAAGAUGUUGAGCCAUCUGAAAUGGGUCUUGAAGAGAUUGAAAGCAAAUUGGGUUCUCUUGUACAAGCAGAUACUAUUUCCCAAUUGAAGAGUGCUGUGUGGAAGGAACGGCUUGAAGCAAUAUCUUCAUUUAAACAACAAGUGGAAGGUUUAUCAGACCUAGACCACAGGGUUGAGUUAUUGAUUCGUUUACUGUGUGCUGUCCCUGGCUGGAGUGAGAAAAUGUCC